rnacentral:rRNA from 1 species
UGGGGAAUAUUGCACAAUGGGCGAAAGCCUGAUGCAGCAACGCCGCGUGAGUGAUGAAGGUCUUCGGAUUGUAAAGCUCUGUCUUUUGGGACGAUAAUGACGGUACCAAAGGAGGAAGCCACGGCUAACUACGUGCCAGCAGCCGCGGUAAUACGUAGGUGGCGAGCGUUGUCCGGAUUUACUGGGCGUAAAGGGUGCGUAGGCGGAUGUUUAAGUGAGAUGUGAAAUACCCGGGCUUAACUUGGGUGCUGCAUUUCAAACUGGAUAUCUAGAGUGCAGGAGAGGAGAAUGGAAUUCCUAGUGUAGCGGUGAAAUGCGUAGAGAUUAGGAAGAACACCAGUGGCGAAGGCGAUUCUCUGGACUGUAACUGACGCUGAGGCACGAAAGCGUGGGUAGCAAACAGGAUUAGAUACCCUGGUAGUCCACGCCGUAAACGAUGAGUACUAGGUGUAGGAGGUAUCGACCCCUUCUGUGCCGCAGUAAACACAUUAAGUACUCCGCCUGGGAAGUACCGAUCGCAAGA